GGGCUUCUACCCUUCGAACAUUACCCUGACCUGGCAGCGAGAUGGGGAGGACCUGACCCAGGACACAGAGCUGGUGGAGACCAGGCCUGGUGGGGAUGGAAACUUCCAAAAGUGGGCGGCUGUAGUGGUGGCUUCUGGAGAGGAGCAGAGAUACAUGUGCCAUGUGCAGCAUGAGGGGCUGCUGGAGUCCCGAAUCCUGACUUGGGGUAAGGAGGGAAUGUGAGCACAGAGCUUCUCAGGGUCAUCAGGAGCCCUUCUGGAGAUCUUCAGAGGGUCAGGUUGAGGCCUGGGGCUCAGGGUCUCCCCUUCCCGUCCCUUCCAGUGCCCCUUCCUCAGUCCACUGUCCCUACUGACUCCACCGACUCCACCGUGGGCCACAUUGUUGGCCUGGUUCUCCUUGGAGCUGUGCUCACUGGAGCUUGGUGGCUGCAGCUGUGAUGUGGAGGAAGAAGCGCUCAGGGGGACACGCAAUCAACUAGUCAGGCUGCAGUCCAAGGUCAAGAAGGAAGUGCAAGUUCUUCACGUGUCUCUCUGCUCCGUGUGCCUCCUCCAGGGCUCCUUCUGGCUCCAUCCUGCUUCCUUCCUUCUCCAGUCUCUUCUCCAGCUGCUUCUUCUCCCUGCUCAGCUCAACCCUGCUUAGGAGUCUCCCCAUCUUCCUAGUAAGUGCCCUGGGGGCUCUCCUAGGCCCCGCCCUUCAUCCAAGGAUGGAGAAUGUAAGGGCCUCCUUGGUGGCGCAAGGGGUUAAGAUGCAGCCUAUGAAGCUAUCUGCAGCCACUACAGCACAAGUUCGAUCCCCAGCCAGGAAGCUACCAACAUGGCGCAGCAGACCUCUCCUGACCUCCCAGCUGCUCCCCUCAGCAGUGUGUUUCAGUCAGUUUGCCUGUUCUGCUCCCCACUCUGUCUCUGGUGAAUCCUGUCACCCCAACACCUCUGGUCUGUACCCCAGUUCUUGUAUGCAUAAAUAAAUAAAUCUU